GGCCACGGCCCACUAGUUGGUGACCGCUGUCCUAUGGUGAGCUCAGGGAGGUCAGAGACCUCCCAUGGAACAGAAGGGCAAAAGCUCACUUGAUCUUGAUUUUCAGUAUGAAUACAGACCAUGAAAGCGGGGCCUCACCAUCCUUCUGAGUUUUUGGGUUUUAAGUAGGAG
rnacentral:ncRNA from 1 species